CAAUGCAAUCACAAAGUUUACGGCGGAUCUCCGAAAAGCCUGUUCUCCUUCCAACCCAGCAGCAGAUCAUGUACUCUGCCCAACUCCAUCCUUCUUGACUUUUAUGUAAAUAAACAACACCUGCUGCUAUGAUUGAUCGCCUUCGUAAAUAGGACUAUUCAUUUCAACGUGCGGAGGAGGAAUCCACCGCGGUCUCAGAGGUUAGGUACUCGCAUCCGCCGUCAUUCAUGUAUCACCGAUGCCCUCGCGUACAUGGACAUGGCACACAUACUAGUAUACAGGAUAUGAACUACCCGCCAUGGAUGCACACCGAGUCAGUCAGAGCGACGCUGUGGAGCACCCAUCGGGCACUUAUGAUAUGCAUUGCAAGCUGAACACCCUGAUCCAGACACAGCUAGCAUUACUUGGAUGCCAUGGGAUCUGCCGGUGCGAUAGGCAUCAUCACACAUCAUCACAUGGAGCGGGCACCCUCAACCUGCUGCAGAUCCAGGUUGUCUUUUGCUUGUUUUUGCCCGUCUUUUCAUAGUCUAUUCCCCGCUUGUGCUGGGUUGGGAGCUGGGAAUGGCCAGUCGGGUGUGUCUUUGGUUUACUGCCUUGAUAUCGAGCAGGGUGUUGUGCAACACAGAGCAGGGGAUACUAGUGCUUGCACUCGCCUGUACUGUAUAGUUACUGCACCAGUAUGUGCUGCAGUUGUACGCAGAACACAGCGGUUCGUUCCCAAGCCUUGCGCGAUGCUUGGUUGAUACAAUGCCGGGAACGAGUCUGUCUCCAUGCACGGCGCUGUGGAGUUUCUGCGCGGCAGGAGACAUCCCAGGCGUCCCAUUCCCGCUGGACUUGCUGGACGCCAUUCCUCCAAGCUCUUGCUACUCGAGACAUAUUCCAAUGCUGGUCCCUCUCUGUCAUCUCGCAGCUCCGGGCUGCUACCUGGGCAAUUCCCCUUUGCUUCCUGCCCAAAGAGCACUUCUUACAUAGAACUCCCCCGCCCUUCAAGCCUUUAUCGUAUAUAUCUAGAUAUAGACAUAUACCCAUCCCAUCCACCAUGCUGAAACUCCGCCGUGAAUACACGGCCACCAACUCCCCGUUAAUCGUCCUGGUCUUCCUGCUUUUUUCCCUCCCACUAUCCCUCUGCCAAACAGCCCAACUAUCCUCCCGCGCCAAAACAGGCAAUCCCAUCAUAGAAGGCUGGUACGCCGACCCGGAACUUCGCAUCUACGAGGACGCCUUCUACCUCUACCCCACCACCUCCACCAGUUUCAACAACCAGACAUUCUUCGACGCCUUCUUCUCGUCCGACCUGCUCACCUGGCAACGCGCCGGCCGCAUCCUCGACUUCGCUGAUGUCCCCUGGACCACCGACCGCGCCGCCUGGGCCCCCACCGUUGGCUACAAGGACGGCUCAUACUUCCUCUACUACUCCGCCGGAGACGGUGUCGGCAUAGGCGUCGCCGUUUCCAAAUCGCCAGCGGGGCCCUUCAAGGAUGUAUUGGGUCGGCCGCUGAUUGGCGAUUAUGUAUUUGGCGCGCAGCCCAUCGAUGCGAUGGUGUUUAUGGAUGGGGAGGGGGAUGGGGAGGGGAGAAAUUAUCUGUAUUGGGGCGGUCGGGGACAUGCGGUUGUGGGCGAGUUGGCAGAUGACAUGGUGUCGUUCAAGGGCGGUUUCAGAGAAGUGACUCCCGAGAAAGCGUACGUGGAGGCACCGUGGAUGCUGAAGAGGAAAGGGGUUUAUUAUUUCUUUUAUAGCGUUGGAGGGUGCGUAUUAUUUAUAUUAUUAACCCCCUUUUUUUCCUUGUGCUUUCACUCUGCUCAUAUGUUAAUGACGAAUUCCGAAAAAAAAAACCCUAAAAAUAACCAAAAAUAAAACAUAGAUGGGGAGAUCCGUCCUACGCUGUCAAAUAUGUCAAAGGCGACAGCCCACUCGGACCUUUCAGCGGACCCUCCAAACUGAUCCUCAGCAGCGAUCCAGCCAUCGGCACAAGCACAGGCCAUAACAGUGUGUUCAAUGUCGGCGACGAGUACUACAUCGUUUAUCAUCGGCGGCCUCCGGGAGAUGGUGCGCGCGAUCACCGCGUCGUGUGCAUUGAUCGGAUGUAUUUUACUGACAGCGGGGAGAUUGAGGUCGUGAAGAUUACGAAUGAGGGGGUGGACGGGAUUACGUUGAAAUGAAAUAUGGCGUAGCUCAUGGUUUAGCAUGGAUCUGGUUGAGUUAAACGUCAAGGGAUGCAGAAAAAGGGUCGUAGAUAUGGAUAGAUAGAUACGUAUCACAGUCCCCGUGGAUGACAACAAUAACUGAGAUAUGAUAUGAUGGGAGUUUGGUAUAGUUCUAGUUCGUUCUUUGGGUUAGGAGUAUAUAUAUAUCUAAACGCUGUCAUUAUAUGUUCCAUUCCAUUCCAUAACACCAAAGCACUCCGGCAUUCCAGAAAAGCGCAUGGAAAAAUAUAUACAUACAAUCAAAUAAAAGCAAA
rnacentral:sRNA from 1 species